rnacentral:rRNA from 1 species
UACGUAGGGGGCUAGCGUUGUCCGGAAUCAUUGGGCGUAAAGAGCGCGUAGGCGGCCAGAUAAGUCCGGUGUGAAAGUCACAGGCUCAACCUGUGAAUGCCGCUGGAAACUGUCUGGCUAGAGUCCGGAAGGGGCGAGUGGAAUUCCCGGUGUAGCGGUGAAAUGCGCAGAUAUCGGGAAGAACACCCGUGGCGAAGGCGGCUCUCUGGGACGGUACUGACGCUGAGACGCGAAAGCGUGGGGAGCGAACAGG